rnacentral:rRNA from 1 species
UACGUAGGGGGCAAGCGUUGUCCGGAUUUAUUGGGCGUAAAGAGCGUGUAGGCGGCUAGGUAGGUCCGUUGUGAAAACUCGAGGCUCAACCUCGAGACGUCGAUGGAAACCAUCUAGCUAGAGUCCGGAAGAGGAGAGUGGAAUUCCUGGUGUAGCGGUGAAAUGCGCAGAUAUCUGGAGGAACACCGGUGGCGAAGGCGGCGUUCUGGACUGCAACUGACACUGAGGAACGAAAGCCAGGGGAGCAAACGGG